rnacentral:lncRNA from 1 species
AGAUGGCAAAAGGCCUGAGGGUGAAUCUGGGCGAGCUGGUUGAGUCCAUGCGUUUGUGCUUCCUCUCAGUCCACUUUCGCUUACGAUGGGGCGACUCUUGUCCAUCGUCACCUCACCGGGAAACUUUUCCUGCCGGGCCAGUUAAUGGUCCCCUGUACCAUCCCCAUCCUGAGUGACUACUAAGCAGCCGCAGCGACUCGGGGUUGCUCCGUGACCACGUUACUCAGUUAACCUUCUUGUUCCCUGGAGAGGCGGAGCUGAAUGGCCCGGACGGGGUUUCUCCAUGUUUCCCAGGCUGGUCUCAAACUCCUGGACUCAAGCAAUCUGCCCACCUUGCCUCCCAAAAUGCUCCUCCAAAAAAGGAGUGUGCCGCCACACCCAGCCUGAGCAACUUUUGUUUUUAAGGGUUUACCUCUGUUGCCUAGGCUGGAAUACAGUGGCGUGGUCAUAGCUCACUGCAUCCUCGAACUACUGAGCUUAAGCAGUUCUCCGCCUCAGCCUCCCAAGUAGCUGGAACUGCAAGAGCAUGCCACUGUGCCCAGGUAAUUUUUUUUACUGUUUUGUAGAGACAGGGUCUUGCUAUGUUGUCCAGGCUGGUCUUGAACUCCUGGGCUCACAUGAUUCUCCUGACUCAGCCUCCCAAAGUGUUGGGAUAACAGGUGUGAGCCACCCUAUCUGGCUUAAUUGGAAGUUGUUUGAUUUUUGUUCAUAAUUACACUGGGGUUGUUUUGGGAGGAAGAUCACAGAGGUAAAGUGCCAUUUUAAUCACUUCAUGUCAAGGGUACAUAUUAUCAACAUAAUUAUUACCAUUGAUGUUGACCUUUAUCUCCUGGCUGUGGUAGUUUUUGCCAAGUUUCUAAAAUUCUUUUUUAACUUGAAAGGAAGUAACUAUUUGCAUUCCACACAGUGAAGAGUUGUGCUCCAUCUCCUGGAUUGCGGAGUAUCUAUGUAAAUAAUUUGGAGCUCUUCUCUAUGAGAGAUUUGUCUCUUUUUAUUUAUUUAUUUAUUUAUCCAAGCAUUUAUAUUUAUAUCAGCACUUAUGUCAGCAUGAUAUUUAUUUUAGAGUUUGGGUUAUAAUCCAAUAUUACUUAAUUUUGUUGCUCAAAUUAUUCACAUGCACUGCACCUGUUUUUAUCUGAGAAAUGAUGAAUUGAGGCAUGAAUCGGAUUUUCUUCUUUGCCUUGUUCCAGAAAGCUUAGAGCCACAUCUGUGACCUUGCAAAAAUUGCUCAGAAAUUGAUGCAUUUUUACAUUAUUCUGAUGUCUGACUCUGGUCUGUUGGUAGCGUUGUUCUUCUUUCUUCUUUUCACUUUUUUCUGUUUCAUAUUAUCUUGCUGUGUUUUAUAAAUUUAAGCCACUUUAAAUUCUUUUGGAAAGAAGGCCAGAAGAAGCUAUCUGUCUUUAUUUAUCUUCCUUUUAUUCCAACAAUCAUCCAUGUCUCUUCUGUCUCUCACUACAUAUGAACUGACUACUGCCAAUGCUCCAUCUGGGAUCCUGAUGCCAUGGCCCUGCUUUGGGGGGCUGCUGGGCAUUGCCUUGCCAUGAACUGCUAUACAGAGCUGUGCCAGGUGUUGGACAGCUGCCUGGCCAGGCUUCACAUCAAGCUGGUUUCUCACUGGCAGAGCCAGAGUAGCUAGAGUGAGAUUUUACCUUCAAUGGGCUCCUUUGGGCUCAUUGUUUUUCUUUGCUCUUUUAACAGAUUGUCUAACUAACUGCACUGGCAGAAAAGGUGGCCAUUGUGAAAUAUGUAACAAUUGUUAAUGCCUUGAAGAAGAAUUUUGUAGAACAUGGUGAUCUUGGUUACCUGCUUGCUUUGGUGCUGUUUAAAGCUUCAGCUCUAAUUCAACAGAAACCUGUAUUCCUAGUUCAUUUCAAAGAGUCUAAGUUUCUUUUUACUGUGAAGAGUCUAGUGGUACCUUCCUCCACAGGUUAUGGCUGGGAUGGAGUAAGAUAAAGUUAGCAAAGUUUUCAACAUAGGGCCAGCACAUGGCUCUAAAAAUGGUAGCUGUUAUGGUCAUCAGAGUGAACCAAUUUACAUCAAUAUCCGAAGUUUAACUUUGUUAUUUCUGCUCUAUGCUUUGUUUUGUAAUUGGAAGUGCAGUGGAGAGCAAGUGGGCUGAAGUCAUGGCUGGAAUGAUCUUGGCCACUAAGCUUGUAGAAAAGAGUCUCAGCUUAAAAGCUUGGGGUUAGAGAGUUGUGGAUUCAAAUACCACCUCUGUCAUUUAGUUGCUGUAUUAUUUGGGGCUAAGUACUUAACCUCUUUUAGGCUCAGUUUCUCCAUCCUUAAAAUGGUGAUAAUGAAGCUACCUCGGAGAGAUGUCAUGAGGUGAAAGGAGAGUGCUAUGUGGCACACUGCUGUCAAUAAAUUAGCUUGCAAAGACAGUUGCAUUUAAAUGUUAGUGACUAUCAAGCAGAUAGAAGAGAGAAAAAGAAUAUUCCUCUAUUUAAAAUAAGUUCUCAUUUUGCAGAUGAAACUUUGCAACUCAGAGAGGCAGAGUAACUUGCUCAGGUUUGUUUUGUUUUGUUUUGUUUUGUUUUGUGUGUGUGUGUGUGUUUUUAUCACAGAGCUUGCAACUGAGACAUGGAUAUGAGGAGUAGUUGAAAUAUGUAUGUUUUUCUGAAGUGGAAGCCCCUGUGCGAGGCAGACAAGGAGGAAAAACUCACAGUUAAUGAGAAGAAAUGUCUGAUGUGCAUGGCCAUUCUUCUGAAGGUGGCUCCAUAAACAUUUGUGUUUGAGGUGACUAUGGUUCUUGACCUUGUUUUGGGCCCAGAGUCCUUUGGGCUAGAUUUAUAAAUAUUUAGAGUAAGCAUGAGGGCAAGAGUGUGACCUGAGGUGAGGCUCAAAGAGGGCCCUGAGGUGGGUCACCCAGAAUACUGAAGGUCAAGCUCAUUUAUCUGGGCCAGUGAAGACUUUUAAGUAUGGGUGGGUAUUUAUAAUUUAGCCAUUACUCUGUGUCUGGGAGAAUGAUCUGACUCUGGAACUGGGGAGAUUCUGGUAGCAUCUUCUGUCCCAGAGUUCACACCCAUCUCUCUCAGGACCUCACUUUCCCGCCUGUUCCCUGGCAGUUCCUCCUCUGGUCCUUUCACUAAGUGACAAACAUAUUUCACUUGUGAGUGUUUACAACCCUGAGGAAAUAUUUUUACCAGAAGAAGAUGUCCUGCCACAGCUGGAAAGACUGUUAGAGUUUUGUUCACAGUUUCUGAGGGUCAGGAAUCUGGUGGCAAGGCUGCAGUCUUUAAAGCUUUGCUGAAGUUGGCCUGUCUGCUUCUAAAAAGGCUCCCUCACAUUCCUGUUGUCAGGAGGUCUUAGCUCCUCAGCAUGCCAACCUUUGCACAUGGCUUCUCACAAUGUGGCAGCAGGCUCCCCACAACCUGCCUUUGCUGCUGUAGGAGAUUUUUAAAGAUAUUUUCUCUGUGUUUUUUUUUUUUUUUUUUUUUUUGACGGAGUCUUGCUCUGUCGCUCAGGCUGGAGUGCAGUGGUGCGAUCUGGGCUCACUGCAGCCUCUGCCUCGCGGGUUCAAGCAAUUCUCCUGCCUCACCCUCCCAAGUAGCUGGGACUACAGGCAUGUGCUGCCAUGCCCAGCUAAUUUUUGUAUUUUUAGUAGGGACGGGGUUUCACCAUGUUGGCCAGGAUGGUCUUGAUCUCCUGGAUCUUGUGAUCCACCCACCUUGGCCUCCCAAAGUGCUGGGAUUGCAGGCGUGAGCCACGGUGCCCGGACUUUCUCUGUUUUUUCCUAUGUGUUCACCAACUUUUUGCAGAGAGAUUUGCAAAUGCUUCUCCCUGCAUCCUUAAGCCCAAAAGAAGGAGAUUGAUAUUAGCAGCCUAGAGCUACUUUUCUAUUAUAACAUUGGGGAUAUUGCAAAUCAGUCACACAACCAGUGAGUGGCUUGACUUACCAGUAGUCACUAGGCAAUCCUCAUCCUAAGCCAACAGUCUCUUGUAAGGCAUAGGUUCAGGCAGUAAUUUAAAGCAACUUUUUGAAGCCUUAUUUUAUGAAUAAGGAAUUCUCAUCUAAGUCUCUGUCUUCCACUGGGGAUUUUGGCUAUACCACCUGUGAUGGUUAAUGCUGAGUGUCAACUUGAUUGGAUUGAAGGAUGCAAAGUAUUGAUCCUGGGUGUGUCUGUGAGGGUGUUGCCAAAGGAGAUUAACAUUUGAGUCAGUGAGCUGGGAAAGGCAGACCCACCCUUGAUUUGGGUGGGCACCAUUUAAUCAACUGCCAGCAUGUCUAGAAUAUAAAGCAGGCAGAAAAACGUGAAAAUGCUAGACUGGCUUAGCCUCUGAGCCUACAUCUUUCUCCUUUGCUGGAUGCUUCCUGCCCUUGAACAUCAAACACCAAGUUUUUCAGCUUUGGGACUUGGGCUGGCUUCCUUGUCCGCAGCUUGCAGAUGGCCUAUUGUAAGACCUUGUGAUUGUGUGAAUUAAUACUACUUAAUAAACUCCCAUAUAUAUAUAUAUAUAUAUCCCAUAUGUAAACUGAUAUAUAUAUAUAUAUAUAUCCUAUUAGUUGUGUCCCUCUAGAGAACCCUGACUAAUACAGAUUUUGGUACCAGGAGUGGUUCCAGAGGAACAGAAUAUUAAGGAUGGAAUUCUUUCAUUGGUUUUGGGCUUUCUGGAGUUGGCUGCUUAAUAUGACUAGACCCCAAAAUCUUAAGGAUUCUACUUCUAAUAGUAUGGAGGCACUGAUAGUCCUUGACAUGAACUGUUGAGAGAGUUAUGCAAAAUAAAUGCAUUUGACACUCCUGAUUCACUGCUCAUGAGAGGCAAAGAGUUUAGUGACUCCAUGCACAAUAACUUUGGCCAAGUUGGAGAACCCAGAAACAUAAUGAAGUUGGUUGGUUGCUCCUAAGUUCACUGGACAAAGUGAUAAAAGAAAAUGAUGAAUUCAGGGAUUGUAACUCCUGGCUUCAGAAGCAGAUCCUGAGCCUCAAAUCUGCUAAGAUUUCCCUGAGUGAGAGUCUUAUCUCCUGUAGAGAAAGAGCUGAAAUUGUGGAAAAACAGACACAAGUUCUCAUCAUGUGAGUGGUUGACCUGCAACGAAAGAAGCAUGCACAGCCUCGCCAGGUGUCUACUGUUAAAGUGAUGGUAUUGAUUGGAAAAGAAUGGGACCCUGCAACUUGGAAUGGGGACGUGUGGGAGGACCCUGAUGAAGCUGGGACACUGAGUUUGUAAAUUCUGAUGAACCUUUUUUUGCCAGAAGAAACAGCUUCCCCAUCCCCAGUAGUGGUAAUAUCCCCUCCCUGACCUACCCCUGACCUACGCUGCCAUCAGCCUUUCCACCUUUGUCUGAGGAGAUAAACCCUGCACUGCCUGAGGCAACAGUGAUGGCCUCCCCUGAGGCAGUUGCCAGGCAAGUUAAUGUUGAUUCUCCUCAGGAGACACCACCAGUACCCCUGUUUGCUUCUAGACCUAUGACUAGACUGAAGUCCUGGCAGACCCUUAGAGGUGAGGUUCACAGUGUGACCCAGGAGGAGGUGUGCUACACUUGAAAAUAACUGCUUGAGUUUUCUAAUUCAUAUAAGCAGAAAUCUGGAGAACAGGCAUAGGAAUGGAUAUUAAGGGUGUGGGAUAAUAGUGGAAGGAACAUAAAGUUGAAUCAGGCUGAAUUUAUUGAUUUGGGCCCACUAAGUAGGGACUCUGCAUUUAAUGUUGCAGCUUGAGGAGUUAAAAAAAGGUUCUAAUUUGCUUGGUUAGCUGAAAUACGGCUUAAAAGAUAGCCCACUGUGAGCAAGCUGGAAAUACCUGAUCUCCCUUGGUUUAAUGUAGAUGAAGGAAUCCAAAGGCUCAGGGAGAUUGGGAUGGUGGAGUGGCUUAGUCACUUUAGACCUACUUAUCCCAGCUGGGAGGGUCCAGAAGAUAUACUCUGACCAGUGUUUGGUGAAAUAGAUUUGUAAGGGCAGCACCUGCAUUUUUGAAGAGCUCUGUAAUUGCUCUUCACUGUAUGUCAGAUCUAACAGUGGGAACCACAGUCAUUCAACUAUAAAAUUUAAAUACAGUGGGAAUAAUUGGAUCCCAAGGUGGUAGCGGUCAAGUGGCGGCACUCAACUGUCAAAGGCAAGGUGGGCAUAGCUACUGUAAUGGACACCAGAGGCAAAGCAGUGAUCAAAAUAGUCUGACUUAUGUAGAGCUCUGGCAUUGGCUAAUUAAUCGCAGUGUUCCUAGAAGUGAAACUGAUAGGAAGCCUAUUGCAUUCCUGCUUAACUUAUAUAAGCAGAAAACUUCCAGGUCACAUAGACAAAAGACCAAUUUGAGUUAUAAAACAGAGAAUCAUGGUCCCUCAAUCAAUUUCCAGACUUGAGACAGUUUGUAGACUCAGAACCCCUUGAAUGAAAGGGAGGCCAGGUCCCCUUGAGGAAGGAUCACACUCUACUACCGACAAUUUAUGCUGUUAACUUUCUUCCAGCCUUCCCCAAGGAGACCUCUGGCCUUUUACCAGGUUAACUGUGCAAUGGGGAAAGGGAAAUGAUCAGACAUUUGGGGGACUACUGGACAUUGUCUCUGAGCUGACGUUGAUUCCAGAGGACCCAAAACAUCAUUGUGGUCCUCCAGUUAAAGUUGGGGCUUAUGGAGGUCAGGUAUAAAGGAGUUUUAGCUCAGGUCCAACCUACAGUGGAUCCCCAGACUCAUCCUCUGGUCAUUUCUCCAGUGCCAGAAUGUAUAGUUGGCAUAGACAUACUUAGCAGCUGGCAGAACCCCCACAUUGGGUCCCUGACUGGUAGAGUGAGGGCUACUGUGGUGGGAAAGGCCAAAUGGAAGCCAUUAGAGAUGCUUCUACCUAGAAAAAUAAUCAAUAUUGCAUCCCUGGAGGGAUUGUGGAGAUUAGUGCCGCCAUCAAGGACUUGAAAGACGCAGGGGUGGUGAUUCCCACCACAUCCCCAUUCAACUCUCCUAUUUAGCCUAUGCAGAAGACAGAUGGAUCUUGGAGAAUGACAGUGGAUUAUCGUAAGCUUAACCAAGUGGUGACUACAAUUGCAGCUGCUGUACCAGAUGUGGUUUCAUUGCUUAAGAAAAUUAACACAUCUCCUGGUACCUGAUAGGCAGCCAUUGACUUGGCCAAUGCCUUUUUCUCCAUUCCUGUCCAUAAGGCCCAGCAGAAGCAAUUUCUCUUCAGCUGGCAAGGCCAGCAAUAUAUCUUUACUGUCCUGUCUCAGAGGUUUGAGAGACAGCUCUUGGUCUGUUACUGGGCUUUGGUGGAAACUGAACGUUUGACUAUGGUUCAUCAAGUCACCAUGCGACCUGAAUUGCCUAUCAUGAACUGGGUGCUUUCUGACCCAUCUAGCCAUAAAAUGGGUCAUGCAUAGCAGCAUUCCAUCAUUAACUAGAAGUGGUAUAUAAGUGAUUGGACUUGAGCAGGUCCCAAAGGCACAAGUGAGUUACAUGAGGAAGUGGCUCAAAUGCCCAUUGUCUCCACGCCUGCCACCCUGCUUUCUCUUCCCGAGCCUGCACCGUUGGCCUCAGGGGGAGUUCCCCAUGAUCAGUUGACAGAGGAAGAGAGACUAGGGCCUGGUUCACAGAUGGUUCUGCACAAUAUGCAGGCACCACCCUAAAUUGGAUAGCUGCAGCACUAUAGUCUCUUUCUAGGACAUCCCUGAAGGACAGUGGUGAAGGGAAAUCUUCCCAGUGGGCAGAACUUUGAGCAGUGCACCUGGUUGUGCACUUUGCAUGUAAGGAGAAAUGGCCAGAUGUGUGAUUAUAUACUGAUUCAUGGGCUGUAGCCAAUGGUUUGGCUGGAUGAUCAGGGACUUGGAAGAAGCAUGAUUGGAAAAUUGGUGACUAAGAAAUUUGGGGAAGAGGUAUGUGGGUGGACCUCUCUGAUGGGUCAAAAACUGUGAAGAUAUUUGUAUCCCAUGUGAGUGCUCACCAAUGAGUGACCUCAGCAGAGGAAGAUUUUAAUAAUCAAGUGGAUAGGAUGACCCAUUCUGUGGACACCACUCAGCCUCUUUCCCCAGCCACCCCUAUCAUUGCCCAAUGGGCCCAUGAACAAAUUGGCCAUGGUGGCAGGGAUGGAGGUUAUGCAUGGGCUAAGCAACAUGGACUUCCACUCACUAAGGCUGACCUGGCUACAGCCACUGCUGAGUACCCAACAGCAGAGAUCAACAAUGAGCCCUUGAUAUGGCACCAUUCCUUGGGGUGAUCAGCAAGCUACCUUGUGGCAGGUUGAUUAUAUUGGUCCUCUUCCAUCAUGGAAAGUGCAGAGGUUUGUCCUCACUGAAAUAGACACUUACUUCAGAUAUGAGUUUGCUUAUCCUGCAUGCAGUGCUUCUGCCAAGACUACUGUUUGUGGACUCAUGGAAUGCCUUAUCUACCAUCAUACUAUUCCACACAGCAUUGCCUCUGACCAAGGCACUCACUUUAUUGCUAAACAAUGGCCGCAGUGGACUCAUGCUCAUAGAAUUCACUGGUCUUACCAUGUUCCCCAUCAUCCUGAAGCAGCUGGAUUGAUAGAACAGUAGAAUGGCCUUUUGAAGUCAUGAUUACAAUGCCAACUAGGCAAUAGUUUGCAGGGCUGGGGCAAAGUUCUCCAGAAGGCCAUGUAUGCUCUGAAUCAGCAUGCAAUAUGUGGUACUGUUUUUCCCAUAGCCAGGAUUCACAGGUCCAGGAAUCAAAACACAUGGAAGUGGAAGUGGCACCACUCACCAUUGCCCCUAAUGAUCCUCCCGCAAAAUUUUUGCAUACUGUUCCCUUGACAUUAUGUUCUGCUGGCCUAGAGGUCUUAGUUUCAGAGGGAGGAACACUGCCACCAGGAGACACAACAAUGAUUCCAUUAAACUGGAAGUUAAGAUUGCCACCCGGACACUGGGCUUCUCCUACCUUUAAGUCAACAGGCUAAGAAGAGACUUACAAUGUUGGCUGGGGAGAUUGACCCAGACUGUCAAGAUGAAAUCAGUCUACUAUGCCACAGUGGAGGUAAGGAAGAAUAUGUGUGGAAUACAGGAUAUCCAUUAGGGCAUCUCUUAGUAUUACCAUGCCCUGUGAUUAAGGUCAGUGGGAAAGUUCCACAGCCCAAUCCACGCAGGAAGACAAAUGGCCCAGACCCUUCAGGAAUGAAGGUUUUGGUCACUCCACCAGGAAAAAAACCACAAGGCAAAGGGAGUACAUAAUUGGUAGUAGAAGGAGGUAGUCAUCAAUACCAGCUACGACUAUGUUGCCAGUUGCAGAAAUGAGGACUGUAAUUGUCAUGAGUAUUUUCCCUUUCUUUUGUUAAAAACAUGUUUGUGCACGUAUACACUUGUACUAAGAAAAUAUCUUCAUUUUAUUUCCUUUUUCCUUUAUCAUGUGACGUAAGAUUUAUUGACUUCACAUCAGCAUUGAAGUAUUGUUAACUUUAUGUAAUUGCAUUUGGGUUGGGGGAUUGGUGCAUUUCUAGUUGUAUAAAGGAUAGUUGUAUUAUGUUAGGUGUAAUUACGACCUUAUUACUGUCUUUAUUUGAAGAUCAUGUAUGAUCUCAGGAGAUGUGUAUGGGUUCAAGUUGACAAGGGGUGGACUUGUGAUAGUUAAUACUGACUGUCAACUUGAUUGGAUUGAAGGAUGCAAAGUAUUGAUCCUGGGUGUGUCUGUGAGAGUGUUGCCAAAGGAAAUUAACAUUUGAGUAAGUAGGCUGGGAAAGGCAGACCCACCCUUAAUCUGGGUGGGCACCAUUGAAUCAGUUGCCAAUGUGGCCAGGAUAUAAAGCAGGCAGAAAAACGCAAAAAGGCUGGACUGUCCUGGCCUCCUAGCUUACAUCUUUCUACCGUGCUGGAUGAUUCCUGCCCUUAAACACUGGACCCCAACUUCUUCAGCUUUGGGACUUGGGCUGGCUUCCUUGCUCCUCAGCUUGCAGAUGACGUAUUGUGAGACCUUGUAAUUGUGUGAGUUAAUACUACUUAAUAAACUCUCCUUUAUGUAAUCUACCUAUCUUAUUAGUUCUGUCCCUCUAGGGGGCCCUGGCUAAUACACUACCCUACUUAGUAUUAAGUUCUGAUGCUCCAGUGUGCUCUUCAGGCCUAUGCAUUAGCCAUUCUCUUUGGAAAGCUCCUUUCCAGAAUUUCACAUGACUCGUAGCUUUACCUCAUUAGAGAAGACUUUCCUGACCAAUACACUGAAGGUAAAACACAACUCUUGUCUCCCACUAAAGUGUAAAUGCCAUGAGAACAGGGACUUCAUUGGGUUUGUAUACAGCUCUAUGCCCAAGGCCUUGCAGAGAAACUGGUAUAUAAUGUGUACUCAAUAAAUGUUUUUAAAAAAUAAAUGUCUGAAUGAAAUUUUGAUGUUGUAUGUAGCAAGGUUGUAUAAACCUGAAAAGGGAGAAAGGAGGAAGCAACAAAAUUAACAUUGCUUAACAAGCAUUAUGCUCUAUGCACUCUACUAGGUACUGUUAAUAUAUUAUCCUACUUAAUCUUCAUAUACCUAUAAGGCCAAGAUCAAAGUCAUACUGCUAAUUAAUGACAAAGAUAGAUUUCAAGGUCUGACUAUACUGAAUUUAUAUAUCAAGUAAUUUUAAGUAAGAACGAUCACUGACUAUUUAAAGGAAGAAGGCAAAUUCUAUUGUAUUGUAAGUAAAUACCCAUUAUAUAUCUGUGUUUUUGUUAAUAUUUUAUGGUCUAUAAUAGUCAACUAUAGACAUAAUCUUUUUUUAGUUUUUGACAUUUAACAUCAACAAAUAGAAUCCUGAAAACAUAGUUGGUGCGUGGAGUCCACGCUGGGACAACUCUUUGCCCUCAGACUCUUUUUGUUUUUUAGGACCGAUUAUGGGAACCACAGGCAGCCCAUUGGGGCUGAAAAUGUUUUUUGAUCAAGCGAAUUACUUCUGCCUUGAAUUUGCUUUCUUUGUAAUAAAUGAGGGAAUGGAUUAGGUAUCCCAUCUUCUAAAUAGCCAUCAAAAAUCCUGGUAGGAUUCUCAUUUUUCUCUGAGCAUUAAGACUUUAAAAGUGCAAAUGCUUAAAUGUUUGGAGUCUUUGGUAAUAUACUUUCUUUGAAAAGAUAUCAAAAUGGAGUUGUCAGAGGGCUCUAAAAAUCACUGGUGAACAAAUAAUCCUCUAAGGCUGUCAAGGCCUAAGGGGACUUUUAUUCAGCCUAGAGAGUUAUCUCAUUGACAAGGGGCUUACUAAACGCUGAAUAGAAGAAAACCCAUUUACAAGAAAUGGGCCAGUUGGUGCAUCAAAUCAGUGGUUAAUCUAAACCUGGCAGAGAAACACAGGAACUGUGUUAGCUCACGAGAAUGCACAUGGGUCAUACAUUUUCCUUCUCAUUUCUUCCAAUCACAAACAAAUUCUGCUUUCUGGGUGGUGUACUGAAGAGUCUGUCCAUGGAAGCAUGAAGAGAAAUUGAGAAAUAGUGUGUAGAACAUUUAGAUUAUAUAAUCUAUUUAGGGAACUACUUAAAUGUAGCACAUUGUAAUCAAGCCUUCUGUAGUGCUCUAGUCAUGUGAAUAUAGAUUAGUUUUCUUCAUGCAAAAUUAUGCAAACUUUGACUCUGUGUAUUAUUUUCAGCAAUUUGACAGAAUACUAUUGAAUGUAAAAUUGAAAACAUUUUAUAAAGAAUGAGAAUAUGAUAGUUAUUCAAUCAGAAAUGUAAUUGAAUCUUUGGAAAGGACAACACAAAUCUUAAAGCAUUAUGCCAUUAACAGACAGCUUUCUAGGGAGAAACCUUGGCCUGGAGUGGAGAGAACAUGCAUAGGAAAGAGGAAUCAUGAGUUCCAGCCCUGGUUUUCUCAUCUUCUGGCGGUGUGCCCUGGGUUAGCUUACUUUAUUUUCCAGGACUCAAUCUCCUCAUCUGUGAAUGAAGAUUUACAUCAGUUCCAUAGUUUUUAGGUUUUGGAACUUUCUUCAAAAUAUUUAUGAAAACACUACGUCUAAGACUAAAA